rnacentral:rRNA from 1 species
CACGUAGUUAGCCGUGACUUUCUGGUUGGAUACCGUCACUGCGUGAACAGUUACUCUCACGCACGUUCUUCUCCAACAACAGAGCUUUACGAGCCGAAACCCUUCUUCACUCACGCGGUGUUGCUCCAUCAGGCUUGCGCCCCAUUGUGGAAGAUUCCCUACUGCUGCCUCCCGUAGGAGUAUGGACCGUGUCUCAGUUCCAUUGUGGCCGAUCAGUCUCUCAACUCGGCUAUGCAUCAUCGCCUUGGUAACGCCGUUACCUUACCAACUAGCUAAUGACACCGCAGGUCCAUCCCAGACGUGAUAGACCAAAGCCAUACUUUACAAAACAAAACGCCUAAUGUGGUACUUUUUGUUGUUAUGACGGUUAUUAGCAUCUGUUUCCAAAUGUUACUCCCCCGA